rnacentral:rRNA from 1 species
AAAUUUGAAAUCUGGCACCUUCGGUGUCCGAGUUGUAAUUUGAAGAUUGUAACCUUGGGGUUGGCUCUUGUCUAUGUUUCUUGGAACAGGACGUCACAGAGGGUGAGAAUCCCGUGCGAUGAGAUGCCCAAUCCUAUGUAAGGUGCUUUCGAAGAGUCGAGUUGUUUGGGAAUGCAGCUCUAAGUGGGUGGUAAAUUCCAUCUAAAGCUAAAUAUUGGCGAGAGACCGAUAGCGAACAAGUACAGUGAUGGAAAGAUGAAAAGAACUUUGAAAAGAGAGUGAAAAAGUACGUGAAAUUGUUGAAAGGGAAGGGUUUGAGAUCAGACUCGAUAUUUUGUGAGCCUUGCCUUCGUGGCGGGGUGACCCGCAGCUUAUCGGGCCAGCAUCGGUUUGGGCGGUAGGAUAAUGGCGUAGGAAUGUGACUUUGCUUCGGUGAAGUGUUAUAGCCUGCGUUGAUGCUGCCUGCCUAGACCGAGGACUGCGAUUUUAUCAAGGAUGCUGGCAUAAUGAUCCCAAACCGC